rfam:Oryza sativa (indica cultivar-group) chromosome 11, whole genome shotgun sequence.
AAUAAGUGCAGCCAUGAGUUUUCACGUCCAACUUUAAUCGUCCGUCUUAUUUGAAAUUUUUUUAUAAUUAGCAAUUUUGUUGUUAUAAGAUGAUAAAAUAUGAAUAGUACUUUACUCGUGACUUAUGUUUUUAAUUUUUUUUAAAUUUUUUUCAAAUAAGACGAAUGGUCAAAGUUGGGCGCUGAAAAUCAUGGCUACACUUAUU